UGGCAGGCGAAAAACGAGUCCAGCAAGUUAGAAAAAAUUCCAAGUCUAGUUUUCCGUCAUCGUACAAAACCCCCUCUGCCCAGGAGUUGCUCAUCUUUAGUUCUCAGAAAGAGAGGAGUUAUUUGUACAUACUUUCUCAUCUGAGUAGUCUACAGGUCCUAGCAGACACAACGUCUCUGAUAUUCUCAGAGACCUAAAAGGACAUGGAUAUGAAGCCUCUGAUGAUUCUCCUCCUGCUAGCAGCUGUCACCACCACCGCCCCUGCAGCAGCUCAAACCACCACCGCCCCUGCAGCAGCUGUCACCACCACCACUCCCGCAGCAGCUGCCACUACCACCACUCCUGCAGCAGCUGGUACCACCACCACUCCUGCAGCAGCUGGUACCACCACAGCUUCGGCAGCAACCACUUCCGCUGCUGUCAUAUCAACUGACCCUCCAUCUUCUAGUGAAGGAACAAUGAGUCUUCAGUUCCGUCUCAACCAGACGUUCAACUCAGAUCUUUCCAACCCUUCCUCUUCAGGGUUCAAGACUCUGGCUGCCAAAGUGAUCUCUGAGGUGAACAAGGCUUUUGCUAAGACCCCAGGCUUCCGUCGUUCCAUUGUCAACUCAUUCAGGAGUGGAUCUGUGGUUACCGACAUUACCCUCGUGUUCGACAAUCAGUCUUCGGUUCCCAGCUCAAGCAACUCACAGGCAAUUCUCACCAGCAGUUCCACCUCCCUGAACAUUAUACCAGGCAGCAUCAGUGAUGGGUCAUCAACCAGCUCAGGAAGUGCUCCCCGACCCACUUCUUUCUCUCUGGCUGCCUUGCCUCUCAGUUUGGCUCUGUUAAUGGUACAGCUGCUGGCUAGCUAAUAGCCUGGGACAUAGCUGCUGUGGCUCUGCUAGCUACUAGGCUAGCUAAUAGCCUGGGGCAUAGCUGCUGUGGCUCUGCUAGCUGCUGGCUAACCAAUAGCCUGGGGCAUAGCUGCUGUGGCAUUGGUUUAACCAAUCAACAGUUUCCCAGCUCUCAUAGAUACAGCCUUAAAGCUAGAAUCCUUAGUUGCUACACCCAUUUUUUUACUUAUAAAUUCAUUAUAUCUACCCAUUGAUUCUAGAAGAAUAUAACAUAUGAAUACCUCAUGAGUUUAGAUCAACUGUCGUACCCCAUCAGAACCCACAAUAUGAGCUUGUUUUACCCCGAUGUUUCUAAACAAUGCAAACAAACACUGUACAGCUUUAAAACAUGAUUAAAACUAUAAUUCUGAUAUCAUGGAUGGUCAGUCCUGGCAUCCAUAGCUCUGUCUAUUUUAUUUUACGUGUCAAGUCAGUUAAGAACAAAUUCUUAUUUAAAAUGACGGCCUAGGAACAGUGGGUUAACUGCCUUGUAGCGGGGCAGAAUGGCAGAUUUUUGCUCGGGGAUUCGAUCUUGCCUUUUCGGUUACUAGUCCAAGACUCAUUAGAGCUGUCAAUUUUGCAUGAGGCGGCAGCCUAGUGGUUAGAGUGUAGAGGUGGCAGGUAGCCUAGUGGUUAGAGUGUAGAGGUGGCAGGUAGCCUAGUGGUUAGAGUGUAGAGGUGGCAGCCUAGUGGUUAGAGUGUAGAGGUGGCAGGUAGCCUAGUGGUUAGAGUGUAGAGGAGGUAUAACCGAUAGGUUGCUAGAUCAAAUCUUCUGAGCUGACAAGAUAAACAUCUGUCAUUCUUCCCCUGAACCAAGGCAGUUAACCUGCUGUCAUUGGAAAAAAAUAUUUUGUUCUUAAAUAAAGAGCUGUCAAAGAUACAGAAAUCCCAUGUAGCAUUGUUCGAACACUGGAAUGUGAGAUGUAAUCUACACCUCGAUUAGGUUAUAAUGAUUUUUCCAAAUUGAGCGUCAAUAUUUUCAAAAUAACCUACACACUUCCUCAUUCUGAACUUGUAACGCGAGUAGGCCGGUGUACUUUUCCUGAAAAGAGCUGCUGUUUACCGAUUUGACAGCUGAUUAAAACCUCUUCAGGAGAGUUUCAAAUGUCUCAACUGGUCAAAGAGAGAGACAGAGAGAGAGACAGAGAGAGAGACAGAGAGAGAGACAGAGAGAGAGACAGAGAGAGAGAGAGACAGAGACAGAGAGAGAGACAGAGAGAGAGAGACAGAGAGAGAGACACAGAGAGAGAGACACAGAGAGAGAGAGAGAGAGAGAGACAGAGAGAGAGAGACAGAGAGAGAGACACAGAGAGAGAGACACAGAGAGAGAGACAGAGAGAGAGACAGAGAGAGAGACAGAGAGAGACAGAGA
ensembl:lncRNA